rnacentral:rRNA from 1 species
AUUGAACGCUGGCGGCAGGCCUAACACAUGCAAGUCGAGCGAGCGGCGGACGGGUGAGUAAUGUAUGGGGACUGCCCGAUAGAGGGGGAUAACUACUGGAAACGGUGGCUAAUACCGCAUACUAUCGGAUAACCCAUAUGGGAUUAGCUAGUAGGUGGGGUAAGGGCUCACCUAGGCGACGAUCUCUAGCUGGUCUGAGAGGAUGAUCAGCAAAACUGGGACUACGAAACGGCCCAGACUCCUACGGAGGAAGCAGGGGGGAAUAUUGAAAAAUGGGGGAAAGCCUUAUGCAGACAUGCCGCGUGUGUGAAGAAGGCUUUAGGGUUGUAAAGUACUUUCAGCGGGGAGGCGUUCCCCGCAGAAGAAGCACCGGCUAACUCCGUGCCAGCAGCCGCGGUAAUU